CAGGAGAAUCGCUUGAACCCAGGAGGCAGAGGUUUCCGUGAGCUGAGAUCGCGCCAUUUCACUCCAGCCUGGGCAACAAGAGCGAAACUCUGUCUCAGAAAAAAAAAAAAAGAUAUGACUCACUAGAAGCUCAGAUGAUCAUUAGCAUUUUUUUAGCAAUGAAGUAUUUUAAAUAAAACUGCAUUUUUUUAGACAUAAUGCUAUUGAACACUUAAUAGCAACCAUGUAAACAUAACUUUUAUAUGCACUGGACACCCAAAAAGUCCACGUGACUUAUUUUACUGUGGUAGUCUAUAAGCAAACCCACAAUUUCUUCAAGGUAUGCCUUGCUAGGUGAGUAACCUAAGAAAAAUCACUCAGUUGGGUGCAGUGGCUCUGAGGGAAGAGAGAGACCUUCUCAUAUUGUUUUAUAUUCAGUGCCU
rnacentral:lncRNA from 10 species